UCCUGGCUCAGAGUGAACGCUGGCGGCGUGCCUAAUACAUGCAAGUCGAACGGAGAUUAAGUAGCUUGCUAUUUAAUCUUAGUGGCGCACGGGUGAGUAAUAUAUAGCUAAUCUGCCCUACACUAGAGGACAACAGUUGGAAACGACUGCUAAUACUCUAUACUCCUUCUUUACACAAGUUAAGUCGGGAAAGUUUUUCGGUGUAGGAUGAGGCUAUAUCGUAUCAGCUAGUUGGUAGGGUAACGGCCUACCAAGGCUAUGACGCGUAACUGGUCUGAGAGGAUGAUCAGUCACACUGGAACUGAGACACGGUCCAGACUCCUACGGGAGGCAGCAGUAGGGAAUAUUGCUCAAUGGGGGAAACCCUGAAGCAGCAACGCCGCGUGGAGGAUGACACUUUUCGGAGCGUAAACUCCUUUUC
rnacentral:rRNA from 1 species